GGCUCAGGAUGAACGCUGGCGGCGUGCCUAAUACAUGCAAGUCGAGCGAACAGAUGAGAAGCUUGCUUCUCUGAUGUUAGCGGCGGACGGGUGAGUAACACGUGGGUAACCUACCUAUAAGACUGGGAUAACUCCGGGAAACCGGGGCUAAUACCGGAUAAUAUUUUGAACCGCAUGGUUCAAUAGUGAAAGACGGUUUCGGCUGUCACUUAUAGAUGGACCCGCGCCGUAUUAGCUAGUUGGUAAGGUAACGGCUUACCAAGUCGACGAUACGUAGCCGACCUGAGAGGGUGAUCGGCCACACUGGAACUGAGACACGGUCCAGACUCCUACGGGAGGCAGCAGUAGGGAAUCUUCCGCAAUGGGCGAAAGCCUGACGGAGCAACGCCGCGUGAGUGAUGAAGGUCUUCGGAUCGUAAAACUCUGUUGUUA
rnacentral:rRNA from 1 species